UGCAGCAGCCUCUCCAGGCAUCCUCUCCCCAUGCCCUCCUUUACUGUCUCCAUGGCACUGAUGGUCACCUGACCAAGUGGUCACGUGUCUGCUCACUGUCUGCCUCCCACAGAGAAGCCGGGUCCUCAGCUCUGUGAGAAGACCUUGUCUGAUCCACUGCAGUGUUGCCAGAAUUCAGGGCGGAGCCUGGCACAGAGUGCGUGCUCAGUAAAUAUCUGUGGACUAAAUGAAGUGCGUAUGCAACCAUCCCAUUUGGUUUAUCGUUAGGUCCAUGUCCAUCUUACUCCUUUUGCAGUAGUUUAUACGUGUGUGAGAGAGAGAGAGAGAAAGAGAGAGGAUAUGUCUGUCUCCAUGAUUCCAGAAAAUUUGAAAACUUCUGCAGAAUUGCAGAAAUUCUUGUAGGCCAGAACUUGCAGUCAAUAAAAUAUACAGAAUAAAUGGAAUAAGGGUGUGGGAUUAUAGUCAGAUGACAAAAAAGCUAGAUGAGUCGCAAAAAAAAAACCCAGCUCUUUCAUUUUUUGAGAGUCCUAACGUCCGUGCCUGUGACAGCUUGCCGGAUCUGGUGAGUUGAUUCCCCCUCCACAGUUCUGCUGCAUUGCACCGUCUGUGGAACUGUUUGUUGCCGUGUGCUCAUGCAGGGCUAGCGAGGGACCAGACGUGGCUCGCUCUCCAGGCCUGUAGCGAUGCUCCUCAACGCAGGACCCCUGCUCGAUUCCUGCGUGAAUGUGUGGGAAGUGCAGCCACGGCCAGCACAACCCCAAGCCUGGAGGGCGGGCUGAUGUCCACCCAGCCUCUGCCUCAGGUGGGCGUUUGGCAGAUUUCUCAUGGACGCCCCCAGCUAUCUGAUUGGCAGGAUUUGAGGAUUGAACUUUACCUUUUCACCUACCUCGAGGCGCUGCUGCAGUGUGCGCUUUAUGCAGGUAGGACAUCACACGAUUGGAGAGCUCAUCGAAGGGGCACGGGACAGUUUGGUUUCGGAAACUUACAGCACGAAAGCUCACACUCCUCUGAGAGAACUCAGCUCUUAGUUUAUUCCGCACUCAUCUCCCUUCCCCCCAGUCUACAAAGCCAGUAACCCAGCGGACACCCCGAUUUCAUUCUCUGCUGCUCUACUUAUUAAACUUGCAAUUAAAACAUUUUCAUUUUUUUCUCAGCCGGA
rnacentral:lncRNA from 1 species